CCUCCUAACUUCAUGUUUGUUCAGUGGAAUUAUGUAAACUAUAAUCAAAUAUACAAAAAUAUAUAAUUGAAUCAGAGUUUCCUGUGUGGAGAUGUUUCAAAACAAAACAAAAGCCUUCAAGUCGUGGUAUCCUGUAAAUACUUCAAAGGGAUUCCCACCAAAAUGUUCCCCCUUGGCUUGUUACAAAUUCAGUGUAUCCUGUGGGCAUGUGCUAACAGAUAUGAGAGAUGGGGACUGGAGUGUCUCUUUUCUUUUUCUUUCCCAUUUAAACCAAAUACCUUCUGGUAACCAUUCCCUAACUAAUCAAAGUUUAAAAUCUAGUUAAUUGAAGAUGUUUAUAUUUUUUGUUCCUAAAAAUUAUACUGACUAUAUUGACACAGCAUGGGUUUUCCCUUGUACCGGGAUUGAAGAUCUACCCCCAAUAGACUGAAGAUCUUGCCACUGUCCUGGUCUGACCAUCUCUUCUACCAGCAGAUAUCAGCUCUUCUCAUCCAAAAGUUGGACCAUUCAGGGAGAACUCAAAGGAAGGAACAGAGCUUAUGUCCUGGGAUUCUUAGGUGUCUCCUCUCUGCAUGAAGUAUUCAACAGAGUGUUGCAAAAGUCUGGAUGUACUAUGGAGCCUCCAAAAUAUUUUUUACUGUAAGUUUUGAAUAUUUUCUGUUAACUCUCUUGCACUAUUUACUGUGGUGUCUAGAAGUAUUUAGUCUAUUUAUGCAAAUUUGACAAUCUGUAAGAGAAUUGUUUUGUUUAGUAGUUUUUAAAGGUUCCAUUUACGGUAGCAUCUGGGCACAGUUUAUAUAGGUAAAAACAAUACCAUACAAUAGCAUCUCCAAAAUGAGAAAAAUAUACUUUGACUAUAUAACAAUGAACCCAGCAGCAGCAGUAGUCUAUGAGGAGAUUCCAAGAACAGCAUUAAUGGAACACUUUGCUUCUCUGGGGUCAGCUUUGGCAUGUAUCUUGUAGGACUGAAUUUCAGGGGUGACAUUCUGCUACUAGGAAUGCCUUGUACCUGCAGACUUUACAAUAGAGAUUUGAUAGCCUAAGCUUUCCUUCCAAAUGCUUUUAUCAUUGGUAGGCACUGGGGGAAGAAAGGAUACCAAUGCUAAUGACCACUAGGAAUCAGGAAGGGAAAUUUCUUUAUAGCAGUGCAUGGUUGGAUACAUGCAUAAUCACGGUGGGAGUUACUCCCUGUCAAGCUUCGGGGUAGUGCUGGAGGCAGACUAGCAGAGCAAACAAACUUAUUCCUAGAGCUUUAAAAAUUAGUUUAGCAUAAAAUAAACUGGCAGU